UUCCGGCGUGGAGUGAUGGAAAAGAGGGCGUGGAUUGUGAGACACGCGCGUGAGGGCUUUACCUGGCCGCCCCACACCCGGCUGCACUCGGCUGCAGUUUCUGGGUCCUGAGACGCGAAAACGCGGAGUGGCUGUGGGACUCGGAGUGAAGCUGGCCCACUGUCUGGUGAGGCGUGGGAGCGAGACUGAAGCUGGAGGUGAUUCUUCAGAGUUGUGGGAACUGAAUUUUGAGCCACAGAUCAGCCUCAGUUGCAGUUGAAUUCCUCUCCACUCCUCACAUUCUCUCAGGCGCUGAUGGCAAAAGCUAACUUCUCAGAGGGGUUGACAACCCCUCUCCCACCAGCUCUUCAGGCUCUCCAGUUAUCAGCAAUGUCUGGGCCUCACAAAGUCUUUGGCCACCUUAGGGAGCUCUGAUACUGAUGACCACAGCCCAAGCUGCACUGAAGGAGGAGAUAGAUCCUGGAGCUGAAGCAAUUCCUGGCCAUUCUGCAGAGAGAAAUGCAAGCCUGGGUGAGGGAGCAUCAUCCAGAAAGCAGUGAGAGGGCAAUGACCUUAGUAUGGAUUUGGAAGGAGAACCGGGGAGACCAAGGCAAUGGGCUAGGAACCGAGCCAAGGCUGGGCAGCAGGACUGUGCAGAGCCAAGCGAUGAAAUGGGCACACUCCAUCCCAGGAUCCCAGAAGUCCUGGGCUGCCCUGAGACUGGUCUGGUGGUGUCUGGGUUACAAAGAGCACUGAUCAUCUACCCUGAAGGUAGCAGCAGUACAAGUAGUGUCUGGAAGUCAAUUAUUGGUUUAGAAGAGAUCCAUGCUCUUAACCUCUAAAUGUGCUUCCCAAAAGGGGGAGAAUUUAUCAGCCCUAUGUGAGGACUUUUGCCACACUCUGACCUUUCCCAGAAACAUUUCUCAGAUCACUGGCCACCCAUUCUCAGUGUUGAGAACAGGGAGACCUUGGUUUUCUGGCAGCACUUAUGGCCUCCCCAUCAAAGCAAACUUUAAGUCACAGUGAGACAAGACUCAGGAGUCACAGGCAGAGCUAGAAGGAGGUCAGUCUCAGGCUGAUUACUGUUCCUGGACGUGGUGGAUAAGAACUGGUUGUCAAUAAGCCUACUGCUAAGUCAGGGAUUGGCUAUACCUCUCCACAGCAGAAGAAAGCUCUAUAAAACACAUGCUGACCUAAGGAAGUGAUCUGCAGGUCUCCUACACACUCACAAUACACCUCUCCCUUCCUGUGAUGUGAGUACUUCUUUUAUGUGCACUGCCUCAUGGUGAGUGAAGGCAGAGUUCUUAAUGAAGCUCUUUUCACACUGAGAGCACUUGUAAGGCUUUUCCCUAGUGUGGGUUUUCUGGUGGGCACUGAAAUGGGAGCUAUUAUUGAAGCUUUUCCCGCACUCCACACACUUGUACAGGCUCACCCCAGUGUGGAGGCGCCGGUGAGCGCUGAACUGGGAACUGUUGUUGAAUCUCUUUCCACAGAUGGUGCACUGAUAAGGCUUCUCCCCCGUGUGUGUCCUCUGGUGCACAAUGAGGCUGGAGCUCUGGUUAAAGCUUUUCCCACACUGCUCACACCGGUAGGGCCGCUCCCCUGUGUGAGUUCGCAGGUGGGCAGUGAGGUUGGAGCGCUCACUAAAGCCUUUCCCGCAUUCACUGCACUUGUGAGGCUUCUCACCCGUGUGGAUUCUCUGAUGCCGAACAAGAUAAGAACCUCGGCUAAAGCUUUUUCCGCAUUCGGGACAUCGGGAAGCUUUUUCCAGUCCCGACACUGGCUUACUCUCCCAGCCAUUUGUUAGCUCAGAGUGCCAAAAAAUUUCUGCACUAGACUUUCCCUGUAAAGCCUUGUUCAUUUCUAUUUCCUCUGAAUCAUCCCAUUUCAGACUCUCUUUUUUAAUCCCAUUCUUGAACUGAAAACCUGAAAGAAAAGAAAAAAAAGAAAUAUACUGGACUGUAGAGAAGGAAAACAAUGGAAUGAGGAAAGAGUUACAACUAAACUACUAUAAAGAAGAAACACCUUAUUGGAAUUUCUCAUGUGAUUAAAUCUUCUGCUAAUUAAAAGCCUAAGUUUUACUUCCGAAUAUAAUAUUUUUGAGCUCCAAAUUUUGUGGUCACAGGUAAAAUAUACCCUAAACCCCACCAACUUUUCUCCUUUUCUUUUUUUGGAUGUUCUGACACAAUGACAAACUGAGACAAAAGGUCAAACUAUGUCACCUGUCUGUCUGCUUAUAGGUGUAUUCUGAAUUCUUGAAUGGCCUACUUCUGGGAGCAGAACAAAAGACCACCCUUUUGUUUGGCCAGCUGAAAGAGGAAGCAGGCAAGGUGCUGAGUACCCGGCUAGCACAGGCUCAGAUUACUAAAGGAGGCCUAACUAGUAAUCUCAGGAAGCAAGACGGUGAAACUCCACAGGAAAAGAUGACAUGGACUCAGUGAAAGAGGUUGACAAGUAGAAAAUCAGGGCUCUAAAAUGCAAGGGGAGGGCCGGCCCGUGGCUCACUCGGGAGAGUGCGGUGCUGAUAACACCAAGGCCCCGGGUUCGGAUCCCAUAUACGGAUGGCCGGUUUGCUCACUGGCUGAGCGUGGUGCUCACAACACCAAGUCAAGGGUUAAGAUCCCCUUACCGGUCAUCUUUAAAAAAAUAAAAUAAAAUAAAAUGCAAGGGGAAUAAUCCUUAAACACCAUGAAAACUAAGACUGCUGGCCUGGAGAAGUCACAUCAAGAUGAUGACAACACCAGGAGCAGUGACAGCUCCCUCUCAAGUGCUAGGCUAAUUGCCUGUACGUGGACUUUCCCAUCCUGUGACCAUCAGAACCAAACAAACCUUACCAAGUCUGUUUGGGAACAGGACUGGCAGGUCACGUCUCUGGACUUCCUGGCCAGAAUUCCUGAGAUCCUUUUCAUCCCGGCCUGCACCAUCCACAGUGCCAUCAUCUACAACCUCUGUGGGCUCCCUGUUCUGCUGAUUCAGCUCUCCAGCCUCUUGGCCAAGAACAGCAUCACUUGCCAUAGGACAUGCAGAGGCCCAGGAGCUUGAAAGGGCAUCCAUUUCUUCAUAAAAGAUACAAGGUUCAGACACACAGCCUCUCCUCACUUUGUGAUAACUCAACUGCAGGCUUUUGAACUUGGUGCGACAUUGCUCUGGGGUCCGCAGGAAGCCCUGUUCCCGGAGUCGUUCCGCCACGACCCUGUAGAUCUGGCUGCUCUGCUGACAGGCCUGGAGUCUUUCAUAAAAUUGAGAUCUACUGAGAACAGCCAGGAGUGUCUUGGUCUCUUCAUAGUCCCAGUGCACACCUGCUGCCAAGGGACAAAGAAUAUAGCAGUCAGAUCAGAGAAGACUGUUCAUACUGCAGUGCAGUUUUAAGCAGCCUAAGGCUCUGUUAUUUCUGAGAAGAUAUCUCACUAUGGCCUUUUUUCCUAAAACAUAAAACUUUAGUGUAGUAGAAAAGACAUCCUCUCCAAUUGAGAAGGACUUGUAGAGUCAUCUACUAAAGCUUCCCUUUUUAUUUUUCUUUAUUUAUCCUGAAUCUCACUUACAUCCUCUGGAGAGGUGACUCACAAUAAGGGUAGUGGCUUGCCUGUCUCCGCAGUUGUGGGGCUCCCUGAAGGUGGCCACAUAAGAGGACAUAGUAUACAGGUGAGGCUUGGAGGGAAGCAGAGAUUCAGGGGAGAGAAGAGCUGGUAAUAGAAUACAUCUGCCCGCUUCUCCUCUAACACUGCAGUACCUCCUCGACUGGCCCAUCACUAUCUGUUGGCCACUCAAGAACACUCAGCACACAUCCUGCAGCCUUUUGGCCCGGUUCGUGAGGGCUAAUAUGUCUCAAGUUGCUCCAACAAGUGCAUUCUGACAUCUGGUCGCGCUGCUCUGAAGGCUACCAGCCUCUUCUCAUCACUCUCUCUAUUCUACUCCGAGCCACUGUCCUGGGUCACUGCUGUGGCUGCCUACCUGGUCUCCUUGCUUCCACUUUGGAUCUCCCACAGUCUAUUUUCAACCAAGCAGAGUAAGCCCCCCUCCUUUUUUAUUAACUAUAAUAAAACUUUUCUUUUUUUAUUGGUUAUGAAUAUUCAUGGGAUACAAAGCUGACUGUCACCACUUGUACCCCAAAUGUGAUGGCCAGAUCAAUAUUAUCAGCAUAACCUUUACCACCAAUUCUAAUAAAACUUAUUGAGUGCCUAUGACGCUAGUUUCAGAGAAAGGCAAAUUUAAAUAUGACAUGGACCUGCCUUCCUGGAGGUCACUGUGAAAGUUUCUGUAGCAAAGAGAGAGAGACAAAUGUUUACAUAAAGCUCGGUGUCAAAUAAAUCAAAAAAACUCAAAGGAUGGAUCCUUUGAAAAUUCUUACUCCUCUGCCCAGAACACUGUAAGCCUUCCCUACUUCACUCAGAAUAAAAGUCAAAGUCCUUCAUGUAAGGCAUCAAGGCCCUGUGUUCGUUGUUUCUCAAAUUAUCUAUGAAGAACCCAGUUUUUGUGUUUGAUUUGUAAAAUAUAAUAAAAAUGCAGUUAGACAGUUCAGCUACAUUAAAUUGCUACUAAGGUUGCUAACACUAGCUGUCAGUUUCAGCUGGCCUUGCUCUGGGCUGUGCUGCCCCAUGUAUCUGGCGCUGAGCUCCCCCUCGCUCUCCCCUGCAGCAGUCAGCCACCUCUGUGUCAGCCUCGCUCCCCACAACACUGUGCUAGCCGUUCCCUCCAUCUCUCAUUCUCCUCCAGACAGGCAUGUGGCUCAUUCCUUCUCCUCCUGGAAGUUUCUCCAAAUGUCAUUUUCUCAGUGAGGACAACCCUGAAACCCAAACUACAAAUGCAAGCCACCCCAUGGCCAAGUGCUCCCAUCACUCUGCUUUGCUCCCCCUGCCCCUUUCCUCCUUCCAUAUUGUGCCACUCAGUGAUUCGUCAUGCUGUUGUCUGUCUCUCCCCUUGGGGCAGGCAUCUUUGUCUGUUUCUAACUGUUGUAUCCCUAAGGAUCCAGAACUACGAC